rnacentral:snRNA from 1 species
GUGUUCACUUCUGCAUGCACAUAUACUAAAACUGGAACAAUACACAGAAGAUUAGCAUGGUCCCUGCACAAAGAUGACACACAUAUUUGUGAAUCGUUCCAUAUUUUU